GAUCAUGGCUCAGGAUGAACGCUAGCUACAGGCUUAACACAUGCAAGUCGAGGGGCAGCGGGAUUGAAGCUUGCUUCAAUUGCCGGCGACCGGCGCACGGGUGAGUAACGCGUAUCCAACCUUCCGUACACUCAGGGAUAGCCUUUCGAAAGAAAGAUUAAUACCUGAUGGUAUGAUGAGAUUGCAUGAUAGCAUCAUUAAAGAAUUUAUCGGUGUACGAUGGGAG
rnacentral:rRNA from 1 species